rnacentral:rRNA from 1 species
ACUCCUACGGGAGGCAGCAGUAGGGAAUCUUCCACAAUGGACGCAAGUCUGAUGGAGCAACGCCGCGUGAGUGAAGAAGGUUUUCGGAUCGUAAAGCUCUGUUGUUGGUGAAGAAAGAUAGUGAGAGUAACUGCUCAUUAUUUGCCGGUAAUCAACCAGAAAGUCACGGCUAACUACGUGCCAGCAGCCGCGGUAAUACGUAGGUGGCAAGCGUUGUCCGGAUUUAUUGGGCGUAAAGCGAGCGCAGGCGGAAAGAUAAGUCAGAUGUGAAAGCCCUCGGCUUAACCGAGGAAUAGCAUCGGAAACUGUCUUUCUUGAGUGCAGAAGAGGAGAGUGGAACUCCAUGUGUAGCGGUGGAAUGCGUAGAUAUAUGGAAGAACACCAGUGGCGAAGGCGGCUCUCUGGUCUGUAACUGACGCUGAGGCUCGAAAGCAUGGGUAGCGAACAGGAUUAGAUACCCUGGUAGUC